rnacentral:rRNA from 1 species
AUUGAACGCUGGCGGCAUGCUUUACACAUGCAAGUCGAACGGUAACAGGCCGCAAGGUGCUGACGAGUGGCGAACGGGUGAGUAAUGCAUCGGAACGUUCCCAGUCGUGGGGGAUAACUACUCGAAAGAGUAGCUAAUACCGCAUACGAUCUAUGUAUGAACGCGGGGGACCGUACGGCCUCGCGCGAUUGGAUCGGCCGAUGUCAGAUUAGGUAGUUGGUGGGGUAAAGGCUCACCAAGCCAACGAUCUGUAGCUGGUCUGAUAGGACGACCAGCCACACUGGGACUGAGACACGGCCCAGACUCCUACGGGAGGCAGCAGUGGGGAAUUUUGGACAAUGGGCGCAAGCCGGAUACAGCAAUGCCGCGUGCAGGAAGAAGGACUUCGGGUUGUAAACUGAUUUUGUACGGAACGAAACGGCUCUGGUUAAUACCCGGGGCUAAUGACGGUACCGUAAGAAUAAGCACCGGCUAACUACGUG